GGGAGUUAGUUGGAGUUCACUGGUCAUGCUGUGAGGAGGAAGGGACAGGAAGGGUAACAUGCUGUGUGUAGGAGAGACAGGGUUAGGUGGCUGUGCUAGGGGCAGGAAGGAGUGAGCCAGAACUGCAGAAGGAAGAGAGAGGAAGAAGAGAAAGAGCCAGAGCUGUGUGGAGCUGCCCAUGGGAGGCUAUGGAGAAAAGGCACAUGCAUUGAUUAACAAAAGGAAAAAAGAAAGAAGGAAGAGGAAGAAUGCAAAGAAGAACUUUAUUGCCUACGUGAUUGUUUAAGAAAACUGAACAGAAAAACCUUACAGAUGCUCCAUGUCAUCUAAAGAAAACAAUUUGAUCGCACAGGAAUGGAAAUCACUAUGAAACAUAAGGCAUGGCAAAUGAAACAGACAAGUCCCUCUUUUAUGAAUAUUUUAUAACAGCUUGACUAUCCUAGCAAUCUCUUUCAGAACUUUCUCAAAUUUUCAGGUUUCUCACUUUUCCUUUUUUUUCUCCAUUUAUGUUUUCUUCUCUACCAUGUCUUUAUUUCUAAAACAAGACCACUCAGGGGGAAAAAAAAAAAAAAAAAAAAAAAAAAAAAAAAAAAAAAAAAACACCAAAAUCCCACCAAAACCCCAAAUCCAGAAGCAAACAAGUAUUUUUGUAAGAAUUGCUCUUUAAGCUCUGUUCUAUAUUCUGCUUAAUAGUACUGGGUGCUUGUUGGUGAGUUGUUUUCAUAAGGCAAUAUUUUAUACACCAAACACAGAUAAAAGAACUUGCACCAUUAAUCAUUCUCUGAAAUGAAGCCACUGUAAGCCAAAUAUCAAUUAUUUAUGUAUUGAUCUAAUCUGUGCAGUUUAUAGAGAUACCUCAAGGAAAAGCUUCAGGGGUCAUAAAACCAGUCACUAAUGUACUCCUAACAUUUGGAUAGACACACUGUAUCCUGCUGCUUUCGAGCAGGUUGAAGACACUGAUGAGAAAUUUUGAAGCCUAUUGAAUUCUCAAUAGGUUUUAUAAUAUCAAAUAUCCCAUAACUUCACUAUUCUAGUUUUACCUGCUGUCUUUGAAGAGAUUUUUUUCAACCCAGGGGUGGCUGGGCACUGGAACAGGCUCCCCAGGGAAGUGGUGACAACAGCAGCCCGACAGAGCUCAAGAGAUGUGGUCAGGGACAUGGUGUGGACUCUUGAGGUGUCCUGCACAGGGCCAGGAGCUGAGUUUGAUGACCCUGAUGGGUCUAUUCUGACCCACUAUAUUCUGUAUUCAAUAUGAUUCUUCGGCUUUGUUUGCUUAAUUCAAUAUGAUUUAAGGGAAUCUCCAGUAAUACCAUCUUCCAAAACUGAGAACAAAAAUUUCUUCCCCUCCCUGCCAUCAUAACUGAGGAAAUGCUAAGACCUACGAAUAUAAACUUAAUGUUAAAUUCUAAAUCCUUUGCAUCUCCUCUUUGUCACUGUCAAAAUAUACUGAGAUGACACUUAUCUAGGGGGCAGAUAUAAAUGUAGGUUUAGCUCAAUGUGUUUCAGAAGUAAACCUGAAGUUCAUCAUAGAAUAAUACAUUUAAAAAUCCCAACACAGACUGAUGAAACAAAAGAUUUGUAUAAUCUUUAAGUACAAACAAUUUAAAAUUUUCAGUGUUCUUCUAAACAAUAUUUUCAAUUAUGUCUGUUUAUCUUGUGAAAUAUAUGUUAUUGCUAACAAGUCCAUUGAUCAUAAAAAUUAUACCAUCUGAAGAGGCUUUUUAUUUUUUUAAAUAAAUAACCAUCUCUAGAUAUGAAGCUGUAGUUGGCACUAAUUCCCUAGUGUGUCACAGAUAUUAUCAGUUUUCCAGCAUAAGACUUUAAAACGAAACAGCAUCUAAAUCUAUAAAGACUUGAAAAGAACAGAAAUUACAUUCUUACAUCUAUAUUCUUAUUCAUCCAAAAGCCAGUAUUCAGAAACUUGCUUCUAAACACAGCUCCAGCAGAGGAUAAAAACAAUAUUUCAAAUAACUGAAUUUAUCAUCCAUCAUAUGGUAUUUUUUAUUAUAUUAUAAUCAGAAGUGCUGUAGAUUCCUUUCAAAAUUGUUAGGUUAAGUUUACCCUGUCACAGGCAUCUCAUUAAUCCAAUGCAGACGCUUUCUUCGGUAUGUCAUUCACCAAAUAUUGCAACAAGAUGUUCAAGAAAUCCAUAUAAUUGAUAAUGCUUCACUUAAUGUGUUCCACCAGAGAGUUUUGUUAAAGCUGUGGAUUCCCUGACUAUGUACUGACAAACACCAGUUAAAAACUGCCUUCCUGAGAUCUGUGAACAAACCUCUGAUAUAAAGGACUUGUCAGUCACUAUUAGAAUCACUAUUACAAUUCUUAGGUUACUAAUUUAUAAAUAUGUGUUAUUAUUAUUAAACAACCCCCCACCCAAGUAUUUACUUUGCAUCAGAAUCUCAAGCGGGUUACCAUGUCACUUCUCGUUAUCCCUUAAUGGAUCUCUGCUUUGUAGGAUUUGUGACUUCUAGGGUCAGGGGUCUUAAAACAUUCAGGGAAACAUUUUAAUUUCCCUAACAAUAGCCAGGAUAUAUUGUAUAUAAGUAGAGCUUUUCCUCCCUUGUGAGAAUAAGUAUUUAAUAAUAAAUAUAAGGAAAAAAAUGAAUUUAAAAAAUAUAUAAUGUAACCCCAAGUACACAGCCUGUAGUGUAAUAUUAGGCUCUGUGAGUUAAAAUAUUUUGGUUGGUACUUCCUAGCUUAAAACUAAUUGUUUAUGAUUAUGUCUUCAACACAGAUUCGUCUGUGGCUACCUGAGAUUUGUGAUAAAUAUCUAAUGAGAAUAAAUGCAUCAAGACAAAUCAUGCU